GAUGAACGCUGGCGGCGUACCUAAUACAUGCAAGCCGAGCGAACGGACGAGAAGCUUGCUUCUCUGAUGUUAGCGGCGGACGGGUGAGUAACACGUGGAUAACCUACCUAUAAGACUGGGAUAACUUCGGGAAACCGGAGCUAAUACCGGAUAAUAUUUUGAACCGCAUGGUUCAAAAGUGAAAGACGGUCUUGCUGUCACUUAUAGAUGGAUCCGCGCUGCAUUAGCUAGUUGGUAAGGUAACGGCUUACCAAGGCAACGAUGCAUAGCCGACCUGAGAGGGUGAUCGGCCACACUGGAACUGAGACACGGUCCAGACUCCUACGGGAGGCAGCAGUAGGGAAUCUUCCGCAAUGGGCGAAAGCCUGACGGAGCAACGCCGCGUGAGUGAUGAAGGUCUUCGGAUCGUAAAACUCUGUUAUUAGGGAAGAACAUAUGUGUAAGUAACUGUGCACAUCUUGACGGUACCUAAUCAGAAAGCCACGGCUAACUACGUG
rnacentral:rRNA from 1 species